rnacentral:rRNA from 1 species
UACGUAGGGUGCUAGCGUUGUCCGGAUUUAUUGGGCGUAAAGGGCUCGUAGGCGGUUUGUCGCGUCGGCUGUGAAAACCCGGAGCUCAACUCCGGGCCUGCAGUCGAUACGGGCGGACUAGAGUUCGGCAGGGGAGACUGGAAUUCCUGAUGUAGCGGUGAAAUGCGCAGAUAUCAGGAGGAACACCGGUGGCGAAGGCGGGUCUCUGGGCCGAUACUGACGCUGAGGAGCGAAAGCGUGGGGAGCGAACAGG